UACAGAGGUCUCCAGCGUUGUUCGGAUUCAUUGGGCGUAAAGGGUGCGUAGGCGGCGCGGUAAGUCGGGUGUGAAAUCUCGGGGCUUAACUCCGAAACUGCAUUCGAUACUGCCGUGCUUGAGGACUGGAGAGGAGACUGGAAUUUACGGUGUAGCGGUGAAAUGCGUAGAUAUCGUAAGGAAGACCAGUGGCGAAGGCGGGUCUCUGGACAGUUCCUGACGCUGAGGCACGAAGGCCAGGGGAGCAAACGGG
rnacentral:rRNA from 1 species